UUUAAAACCAUGCUAUAAGUGUCUUGGUUAAAAACACUUAAGAGCUGCUUGUAGAGCUACAAGGCUCUUAGCAAGAAAAAAAAAAAAUUUAAAUUGGGUAUGGACUUUUUUCUUGACCUAGACAAAAUGACAUAGUUUUGGUGCAUUAAAAUUUUGUCUUUUUGAGCUUAAGUAACAUUUAACGGCCAUCUCAAAAAUGAAUAUAGGCAGACGAGCUUGAAUUAAACCAAUAUCUAGUACUAGGGUUUCAAAUCCAAAAUUUUAAACAUAUUAGGAAUAAAUCAAAAUGACCUUAACUUGCGUGUGUACAUAUAUAUAAAAUACCCCCUAACUUGUGUUUUCCCAAAAACAUAAAGAGCCCAAAUAAAAAUUAAGCAAGAACAAUAAAAAGCAAUAAAAUGAAAAGAGUAAAAG